GGGAAACAAGAGCGCUUGCUGGGAGGCAACCCAGCGUGGUUACUUCGGUAUGGUCUAUACCAAAUUUUCUUUUCUUUUCUUUUAAGUUGUUUUGUUUGUUUGGAUGCACUAACUUGCAGGAGAGAUGGGCCGGAGAAAACACAUAGGCGGAGGCCCAGUGGUGAUUUCAAACCCACUUUGCGUUGCAAAGUGUGUAGGUGGAGGAUUUGGAGUUUUGCAAGUAGAAGGGGGCUAACCGAGGGAGGAUGACGUCAGAGAGGCGGAGGCAGCAGUCUGACACGAUGUGACGGAAACGUUUGGGUUUCCGAAGGAAAAUUUGAAUUUCAAAUUUUGGGGAGAUUAUUCUUUCCUUAAUUCAAAAAUCUGCCAUAACCGUCACCCCCACUUCCCUUAAACACUACCCCCACUUCUCCCAAAAACCCUAAAUUUCCAUAACCGCUACACACGAUCUUCACCACUUCCCACCGCCUUCAAUUUCAGUAACUGCUCGUAC
rnacentral:lncRNA from 1 species